UCAAAUGCGAUGAAGAGAAGAGUAAAUAGAUGGAUUCUUUCACAGAGAGCUCCGUUAGCUGAAAAGGAGCAAAGAAUUGUUUAUUGAAAAAAGCCUCAGAGCAGCACAUCGGAACUCAUUGAAAGGGGGGUGGUGUGCCAGGAGCUCCUGUUACAGAGCUAGAGUAUAAGCAUUCCAUUGUAAUGCCGUACUUAAAAAGGCUGAUAUGGCGACAUAUUGGCGAAUUUGGGGUGGUACCACGAGUAUACAAUCUCGUCCCUGAG
rnacentral:ncRNA from 1 species